rnacentral:tRNA from 1 species
UGUAGCGUGGCCGUGCGGUCUAAGGCGCUGGUUUAAUGCACCAGUCUCUCCGGAGGCGUGGGUUCGAAUCCCACCGCCGCCA